ensembl:lncRNA
CGCCGGGGACCUCGCAGGAGGGGCUUUCGUGCAGCAAUGGCUCCGACCGGGCUCGCUGUCCCCGCGACGGGCAGGCACCCGCUCCCUCUCGGCACACAGCUUGGCCUCUGUUUCUCACGCGAAGCCCUCCGGAUCCCAAAAGCAGAAAAGCGAAGACCGGUCGGAGAUCCCGCUCCCGGAUUUUUUUUAUUUUAAAAAAAGAGAGAGCAGACGGCUGAAGUUGGGUCUCCCUCACCUGCGAUCUCUCUCCCACGCUUCCCCCGCUCUCCGAUUCCCGCCCGCGGAGUGUCGCGCGUGCUUUACUCGGGAUCCCUCCCCCGAUUCACACGGCGAUCGCCACCUAGUAAAAAUCCUCCGCCGGCGCUCGGCUCGGAUCCCCGCUUUAGGUCUGAGGAGGUUCCUGGAAGAAGGCGGGGACCCACUAUCAUCAUCAUCAUCGCCCGCACCACCACUCCAGAGGGCUGAGUGACGGGGGAGAAAGUCGUGGAACUCAAAACUGGAUCCAGCCUCGGCCAGCGGAUCUCCUCGGAGCGAUUCCGCGCCUCGCUCCCGGGGAGGCACCGAGCCGCUCCCCUCUCCUCUCUCGUAAGCCACGAGGAGGCACGACGCCCCGGUCCGGCAGCGCCUCUCGCGAUCUUACCUGCUCCGCCGCGGGAAGGACGCCGGGAACCUACUCGCUCCGCUGAGCAGACGCGGAGGGCACCGAUCGCUCCAUCCAGAGCCCGUGUCCCCCCUGCCCGCCCCCGGUUCUUCCGACACAGCUUCGCCCGAGGACGUGACGGCGCGACGGUUUUUCCGCGGGGGCCGCCCGAGGAGCCCCCUCCACCCGGUGCCCCGGCCGCUGCUGUUGCGAGGGGAAGUGAACUGAAGACCAGGUCCAUGUUGGCAGAAUUUGGGACUUGCCUGGGGAAGCCAGGAAGGCAUGGUCUCCUCCACAGCCAACCUACCUUACCGUUCUCCUCAAUCUCACAAUCAGACUGCCUGUCCAGGGAGAGGGAGAGGGAGAAAAAGAGAGAAUGGAUUCAGAAGGAGUGGAUUGGACAGCUUAGGAACAGAAGGAGGAGUACUUGAACGAGUUGCCAGUUACUCUCGUCCAGCUUUCUCUGUGCCACUUUGGAGCCCAAGACCGUAUCAUCUGGUCAGGAAAAGUGUCUGAUCAAAGUGGAUUAAGAGACUUCCGAAUUGACACUGCCCAGCAUCCACCUUUCCAUUUGCUCAAGAGUUAAUCUAUAGUAUAAUAACAACAUGUAGUAAAAACAGAUCCUAAUAUUGCUGCAGAAGGGAGUAACAAAAUUAGCAAGAAUUUUAGUAUAGAAGGGGGCAAACCACAGGAACAACAGUGACUAGUGGGUGCAUUUAAACAUGUGUGGGUCCAGCCCCAGUCCUUGUUCAGAUGGUGGUUUAAGGGGGCAGAGGGAAUAUUAAAGGGAAGUAGAGCAGAGCAAAUCAACAACCAUUCACUCAACCAAUCAGCUUCCUUCUCCAGAUACAUCUGUACAUUCUCCAGGGAUGGAAACAAGCUGUGAACUCAAGAAGAACCCUGAUAGAUCAUUUAUUUCAUUCAUUUAUUAAAUGUUUGCAUUCCUAUCACAACAACAGUCUCAAAGCCCAUUACACUAGAAAGGAUACAAAAAUCCAUAAUCAAUAUAAGAGAGGAAGAAAAGGAAAUUUAAUCUGCUGUUAUAAUAAAAAAGAAAACGUAUAGCUCUGUCUGUCUUUG